UGCUGUUUUAGUGGGUAACCAAUGGGCAAGUGUCCCAACUUCAUGCCAUUGCAUUAAUUUUAGUGCCAGGUCUGUCAUAAAGGACUGUUACAGUGCAGCCUUUGGAGGAGCUGGGCAUCUCUUGGACAAGCUUCCAUAUUGUUCUGUCGAAGGGUCAUGAGGACUCGAAACGUCAACUCUUUUCUUCUCCGCCGAUGCUGCCAGACCUGCUGAGUUUUUCCAGGUUUGGAACACGGAAGUCCUGCAUCUCCAAUUUCUCAAUUACAACCCUUGACUCUGAAUGCACGCAGUGAGAGAUUUCACCGCACAAACUCAUUCACCUUUCGUCCACUGAGUAUUCAAACGGAUUUUUCAGAAGCCUAAAGAUAUGGGUCUGACCUGCUGUGUGCAGCACUUGCUGUGUUUAUUUCAGAGUUCCAGCAUCCGCUGUAUUCUGCUUUUCAAUUUCAGUCGAGGAGCCCUGAAAGGAGAACUUG